rnacentral:rRNA from 1 species
CCCUUAGAUGUUCUGGGCCGCACACGCGCUACACUGAAGGAGGCAGCGUGUACUCCUGGAUCGAAAGAUUCGGGUAACCCGCGAAUCUCCUUCGUGCUAGGGAUUGAGGUUUGCAAUUAUCCUUCAUGAACGAGGAAUUCCCAGUAAGUGCAAGUCAUAAGCUUGCGCUGACUACGUCCCUGCCCUUUGUACACACCGCCCGUCGCUACUACCGAUUGAAUGAUUUAGUGAGGACUUCGGACUGGGACCGAUGCGGCUUUCGGGCUGCGUCGGUAUUCUGGAAAGAUGUCCAAACUGUAUCAUUUAGAGGAAGUAAAAGUCGUANCA